UUGUAUAAUGGGUCAGCGACUUAUAUUCUGUAGCAAGGUUAACCGUAUAGGGGAGCCGGAGGGAAACCGAGUCUUAACCGGGCGUUAAGUUGCAGGGUAUAGACCCGAAACCCGGUGAUCUAGCCAUGGGCAGGUUGAAGGUUGGGUAACACUAACUGGAGGACCGAACCGACUAAUGUUGAAAAAUUAGCGGAUGACCUGUGGCUGGGGGUGAAAGGCCAAUCAAACCGGGAGAUAGCUGGUUCUCCCCGAAAGCUAUUUAGGUAGCGCCUCGUGAAUUCAUCUCCGGGGGUAGAGCACUGUUUCGGCUAGGGGGCCAUCCCGGCUUACCAACCCGAUGCAAACUGCGAAUACCGGAGAAUGUUAUCACGGGAGACACACGGCGGGUGCUAACGUCCGUCGUGAAGAGGGAAACAACCCAGACCGCCAGCUAAGGUCCCAAAGUCAUGGUUAAGUGGGAAACGAUGUGGGAAGGCCCAGACAGCCAGGAUGUUGGCUUAGAAGCAGCCAUCAUUUAAAGAAAGCGUAAUAGCUCACUGGUCGAGUCGGCCUGCGCGGAAGAUGUAACGGGGCUAAACCAUG
rnacentral:rRNA from 1 species